rnacentral:rRNA from 1 species
UGUAUCUCCGUUCCAGCCGCCCCGGUUAUACGUAGUGUUCAAGCGUUAAUCGGAAUUUCUGGGCGUAAAGGGUGCGUAGGCGGUUCGUUAAGUCUGUCGGGAAAUCCCCGGGCUCAACCUGGGAAUGGCGAUGGAUACUGGCGAUCUAGAGUGUGUCAGAGGAUGGUGGAAUUCCCGGUGUAGCGGUGAAAUGCGUAGAGAUCGGGAGGAACAUCAGUGGCGAAGGCGGCCAUCUGGGACAACACUGACGCUGAAGCACGAAAGCGUGGGGAGCAAACAGGAUUAGAUACCCGAGUAGUC